rnacentral:rRNA from 1 species
GACGAACGCUGGCGGCGUGCUUAACACAUGCAAGUGGAGCGACGAACCAGGGCUUGCCCUGGGGCAAAGCCGCGAACGGGUGAGUAACACGUGGGUAACCUGCCCCGAUGACCGGGACAACCCGAGGAAACUCGGGCUAAUACCGGAUGUGGAACCUUCACAUAAGUGAAGUUUCUAAAGGUAGCUUCGGCUUCCGCAUCAGGAGGGGCCCGCGGCCCAUUAGCUUGUUGGUGAGGUAACGGCUUACCAAGGCUUCGAUGGGUAGCUGGUCUGAGAGGACGAUCAGCCACGCUGGGGCUGAGACACGGCCCAGACUCCUACGGGAGGCAGCAGUGGGGAAUCUUGCGCAAUGCGCGAAAGCGUGACGCAGCAACGCCGCGUGGGGGAAGAAGGCCUUCGGGUUGUAAACCCCUUUCAGGAGGGACGAAGGUCAGGCCGUUAACAGCGGUCCUGGCUGACGGUACCUCCAGAAGAAGCCCCGGCUAACUACGUGCCAGCCGCCGCGGUAAGAC